rnacentral:rRNA from 1 species
UACGUAGGGGGCAAGCGUUGUCCGGAUUUAUUGGGCGUAAAGAGCGUGUAGGCGGCCAGGUAGGUCCGUUGUGAAAACUCGAGGCUCAACCUCGAGACGCCGAUGGAAACCAUCUGGCUAGAGUCCGGAAGAGGAGAGUGGAAUUCCUGGUGUAGCGGUGAAAUGCGCAGAUAUCGGGAAGAACACCCGUGGCGAAGGCGGUUCUCUGGGACGGUACCGACGCUGAGACGCGAAAGCGUGGGGAGCGAACAGG